rnacentral:misc_RNA from 1 species
CAGGGUCUCACGACUCUCAAACCAUCGCGAACUCGUCCAAGUUGCUUCGGCGGCGCGGCACCCCUUAACGGGGGCGCCGCAGCCCUGCCUCUCCGGAGGUUCGGGGCGCCCGCCGGAGGUACGAAACUCUGUAUUAUAGUGGCAUCUCUGAGUAUAAAACAAAUAAGUUA